UUGCAGCCAAUUAAGCCGACCAGCUUCCUUUCCUCGUGGGCGUCUGGUGUGCAGUGGUUGCAAACAGCAUCCUCCUGGUAGUGUAUGCAGCCUGCUGAAUGUGCAGGUUGCCCAACGGGACCUUGGAGACAGUU